UACGUAGGGUGCGAGCGUUAAUCGGAAUUACUGGGCGUAAAGCGUGCGCAGGCGGUUUUGUAAGUCAGAUGUGAAAUCCCCGGGCUCAACCUGGGAAUUGCAUUUGAGACUGCACGGCUAGAGUGUGUCAGAGGGGGGUAGAAUUCCACGUGUAGCAGUGAAAUGCGUAGAGAUGUGGAGGAAUACCGAUGGCGAAGGCAGCCCCCUGGGAUAACACUGACGCUCAUGCACGAAAGCGUGGGGAGCAAACAGG
rnacentral:rRNA from 1 species